rnacentral:rRNA from 1 species
UACGAAGGGGGCUAGCGUUGCUCGGAAUCACUGGGCGUAAAGGGUGCGUAGGCGGGUCUUUAAGUCAGGGGUGAAAUCCUGGAGCUCAACUCCAGAACUGCCUUUGAUACUGAGGAUCUUGAGUUCGGGAGAGGUGAGUGGAACUGCGAGUGUAGAGGUGAAAUUCGUAGAUAUUCGCAAAGAACACCAGUGGCGAAGGCGGCUCACUGGCCCGAUACUGACGCUGAGGCACGAAAAGCGUG